rnacentral:rRNA from 1 species
CCUACGGGAGGCAGCAGUGGGGAAUAUUGGACAAUGGGGGCAACCCUGAUCCAGCCAUGCCGCGUGUGUGAAGAAGGCCCUCGGGUUGUAAAGCACUUUCAGUGAGGAAGAACGCCUGGUGGUUAAUACCCAUCAGGAAAGACAUCACUCACAGAAGAAGCACCGGCUAACUCCGUGCCAGCAGCCGCGGUAAUACGGAGGGGGCGAGCGUUAAUCGGAAUUACUGGGCGUAAAGCGCGCGUAGGUGGCUUGAUAAGCCGGUUGUGAAAGCCCCGGGCUCAACCUGGGAACGGCAUCCGGAACUGUCAAGCUAGAGUGCAGGAGAGGAAGGUAGAAUUCCCGGUGUAGCGGUGAAAUGCGUAGAGAUCGGGAGGAAUACCAGUGGCGAAGGCGGCCUUCUGGACUGACACUGACACUGAGGUGCGAAAGCGUGGGUAGCAAACAGGAUUAGAUACCCCAGUAGUC